UACAGAGGGGGCAAGCGUUGUUCGGAAUUACUGGGCGUAAAGGGCGCGUAGGCGGCCCGCUAAGUCGAACGUGAAAUCCCCGGGCUCAACCCGGGAACUGCGUCCGAUACUGGUGGGCUCGAAUCCGGUAGAGGGAAGCGGAAUUUCCGGUGUAGCGGUGAAAUGCGUAGAUAUCGGAAGGAACAUCAGUGGCGAAAGCGGCUUCCUGGACCAGUACCGACGUUCAGGCACGAAAGCGUGGGGAGCAAACAGG
rnacentral:rRNA from 1 species